rnacentral:rRNA from 1 species
UGGGAAUUUUGGACAAUGGGCGAAAGCCUGAUCCAGCAAUGCCGCGUGUGUGAGGAAGGCCUUCGGGUUGUAAAGCACUUUUGUCCGGAAAGAAAUCCUUGGCUCUAAUACAGUCGGGGGAUGACGGUACCGGAAGAAUAAGCACCGGCUAACUACGUGCCAGCAGCCGCGGUAAUACGUAGGGUGCAAGCGUUAAUCGGAAUUACUGGGCGUAAAGCGUGCGCAGGCGGUUUGCUAAGACCGAUGUGAAAUCCCCGGGCUCAACCUGGGAACUGCAUUGGUGACUGGGCAGGCUAGAGUAUGGCAGAGGGGGGUAAAUUCCACGUGUAGCAGUGAAAUGCGUAGAGAUGUGGAGGAAUACCGAUGGCGAAGGCAGCCCCCUGGGCCAAUACUGACGCUCAUGCACGAAAGCGUGGGGAGCAAACAGGAUUAG